rnacentral:rRNA from 1 species
AGGAGCGAUCUGGAGCAAAACCCAAAAAAAGACAGUCUCAGUUCGGAUUGAAGGCUGAAAUUCGCCUUCAUGAAGCCGGAAUUGCUAGUAAUGGCAGGUCAGCAUACUGCCGUGAAUACGUUCCCGGGCCUUGUACACACCGCCCGUCACACCAUGAGAGUUGGGAAUACCCGAAGCCUGUGAGCUAACUUUUAGAGGCAGCAGUCGAAGGUAGAAUCAAUGAUUGGGGUGAAGUCGUAACAAGGUAAC